GACCCGUCAGAUGAAAGGGAGAACAGGGAAAGGAGCCUGCAACGUGUGAACAGAGGAUGACACGAUCCAGACAUAUGAGAGAGAUUUUUCUGUGGAAUAACCCACGCCCAAAGUCUUAACGAGAAGAUGAACUGAAUUCAAACAAGGCCCAGUCACUCCCACAUCACUAAAGCACAAGCUGGAGAAACCCCCACAAAACCAAAGGGCAGACCGUUAACCUGGAUUAUUGUGCACCGAUAGAACAUGAUGCG
rnacentral:lncRNA from 1 species